rnacentral:rRNA from 1 species
AUUGAACGCUGGCGGCAGGCCUAACACAUGCAAGUCGAACGGUAACAGGAAGCAGCUUGCUGCUUCGCUGACGAGUGGCGGACGGGUGAGUAAUGUCUGGGAAACUGCCUGAUGGAGGGGGAUAGCUACUGGAAACGGUAGCUAAUACCGCAUAACGUCGCAAGACCAAAGAGGGGGACCUUAGGGCCUCUUGCCAUCGGAUGUGCCCAGAUGGGAUUAGCUAGUAGGUGGGGUAACGGCUCACCUAGGCGACGAUCCCUAGCUGGUCUGAGAGGAUGACCAGCCACACUGGAACUGAGACACGGUCCAGACUCCUACGGGAGGCAGCAGUGGGGAAUAUUGCACAAUGGGCGCAAGCCUGAUGCAGCCAUGCCGCGUGUAUGAAGAAGGCCUUCGGGUUGUAAAGUACUUUCAGCGGGGAGGAAGGGAGUAAAGUUAAUACCUUUGCUCAUUGACGUUACCCGCAGAAGAAGCACCGGCUAACUCCGUG